rnacentral:rRNA from 1 species
UACGUAGGUGGCAAGCGUUGUCCGGAUUUACUGGGCGUAAAGAGCGCGCAGGCGGUCGAAUAAGUCGAAUGUGAAAGCCCCCGGCUCAACUGGGGAGGGUCAUUCGAUACUGCUCGACUUGAAGGCAGGAGAGGGUAGUGGAAUUCCCGGUGUAGUGGUGAAAUGCGUAGGUAUCGGGAGGAACACCAGUGGCGAAGGCGACUACCUGGCCUGUUCUUGACGCUGAGGCGCGAAAGCUGGGGGAGCAAACGGG